rnacentral:lncRNA from 10 species
AUUUAUGCACAGAUGCCUGUUAAUUUAGGAAAGAAAAGGCCUCACUGGGCUCCCUAGUUCUAUCUCAAGCCUGGGGCAGAGAAAAGUAGAAUGGAAGAAAUUACUUCAGUUUAUGCAUUGAGAAACCAGAAUUCUGAAGCGAAAAAUUAGAAGAGAAAGGAAAAAAAGCAGAAGUAAGAGAGUCUCCAUACUGAACAAAGAAAAAAAUAAGCUGAACCCACAUGUCAGAGGGUUGAAACUUUCAAGUUCAUUUCUUUUCUGAAGACUAAGCUGCCCUCUGCUGACAAAGUUUUGCUGUCGCCCAGGAUGGAGUACCAUGGCACUAUCUCGGCUCACCGCAACCUUCGCCUCCCGGGUUCAAGCAAUUCUCCUGCCUCAGCCUCCAGAGUAGCUGGAAUUACAGAUGGAGUUUCGCUCUUUUUGCCCAAGCUGGAGUGCAAUGGCGCAAUCUCACCUCACUGCAACCUCCGCCUCCCGAGUUCAAGUGAUUCUUCUCCUGCUUCAGCCUACCGAGUAGCUGGGAUUACAGGCAUGUGCCACCACGCCUGGCUAUCUUGUAUUUUUAGUAGAGACGGGGUUUCUCCAUGUUGGUCAGGCUGGUCUCGAACUCCCAACCUCAGGUAAUCUGCCUGCCUCUGCCUCCCAAAGUGCUGAGAUUACAGGCGUGAGCCACAGCAUCCAGCCAAAUAUAUUUUUGAAGUCUUUUCUUUAGAAUUACAACCAAAGCAAUUGCUCUAGUGUAAUUUUUUCCCUCCUUUGAAAACUUUAUUUGUGGGGAGGGGGAAACAAACAACUUAUUGAAAUUUGCAGUAUGAUAUUAUUUUAAAACAAAAGAAAAAAGAUGUUAAUUAUUUGUGGGUAUUAAAACACACACAGUAACUUAGUAAUAUGAGUUACUAACAUCUUAAUGUUUGUAAUAUAAAAAUUAAGUAUAUUAUAAAUAUAAAAAUACAAAUAUGUAGUAUAAAUAUAGUGUUUAUAAUAUAAACACUAAGGUGUUAGUAACUGAUAUUGCUGGGUGGAAAUACUAUUAUGGGUGAUAUUUAUGCUGAUUUUGUUGGUGAUAUUUUCUGAUUUUUAUGUAAGAGACAUAGAUUGAGUUUGCC